rnacentral:sRNA from 1 species
AGAGUAGCUGAAGGUUGCAGCACGGAAAUCAGUAGCAAGAGCGAUGGUCGGAUGUUGAAGAAGUAAGAAGUAAGGAUCGGGCACAAGUCAGAAAGUGUGCGAGCAGCCAUGGAGGCCAGGUGGAAUUCCGAGCGACUAUUUGAUACCCAACAUGUUAUCGCCGAUUGGAAUGGAGCGCCCGGAAUGGAGAUUUGACGACACUGUGUGACAGCAACAAGCCGAUUUGAUUUUCCUGGGACAACAGAGGCUAAGAGUUGGACAGAAAAAACGAAUUGCGAUGACGAUAGGCAAUGCUGCUGCAGCUGACUCAGCGCAGAUCUACCCUGGUAUACCCUCAAAAUGGCCAAAAAGGACGAGGACGAGAAUGAGAACGCUGCCGGAGCGAGGUAGUGGGCGGAAAGCACCAAAAAGUGGCAAAAAGCGCAAGCGAAAGUCAAAGCAAUUUGCCCUCUUUGCACUCUCCCCGACAUCAGGAAUGGCAUAUGGACUGCAUCUCCCAGGAUAAGAUACAGAUAGUAUGGCAACUGCAAGAGACUAGUGGGGAAACGUUGGGAGCUGUCCGAUAGAGGAGAUCUUUUACUAAAGAAGAAAGUAGAAUUAUUGUUAUGGAAUGUUAUUGAAAAAGGAACACCGAGUCUUGAUUGCUGAUUGAUUAUUCGACUUCCAUGCGGAACUCUUCCGGAAGAUAGAAGAUAGAAGAGGUGCUCUGAUGUAGGCUACAGGCAAA